CGCACCUUGCGCUCCUUGGUAUUCCGAGGAGCAUGCCUGUUUGAGUGUCAUUAAAUUCUCAACCAUUCCAGUUUUUCUGACUAGAAUGGCUUGGAUCAUGGGAGUUGCGGGCUUCAUAUGAGGUCGGCUUUCCUUAAACGUAUUAGCGAGGCUCUUGUUGCAACCUCUGGUGUGAUAAUUAUCUACGCCGUUGAGAUGUAACGCUACAGAGCACGGCUUCUAACCGUCUCUCAAAGACAACACUUGACAAUCUGACCUCAAAUCAGGUAGGACUACCCGCUGAACUUAA
rnacentral:misc_RNA from 1 species